GUGGAGCAUGUGGCUUAAUUUGACCCAACGCGGGAAAUCUUACCGGGUCCGGACACACUGAGGAUUGACAGGCAGUUUUGAUAAGUUUUCGCUUCGGCGUGCUUAUCUCAUGAAAGAUGCUAGUCCUUUCAUGAUUAUGUGAUAGGUGGUGCAUGGCCGUUCUUAGUUCGUGGAGUGAUCUGUCUGCUUAAUUGCGUUUCAUUAAGAGCCUAUUUUUACGUAUGCUGCAGGCGCUUUGACCCCACACCAUUUUUGGUUGUGCGUUGUCUUAGUUUUGCUUUUUGCACAUACCUUUAGGCUCUGAAAGCAACGAACGUGACCG
rnacentral:rRNA from 1 species